rnacentral:tRNA from 1 species
AAGAAUUUAGUUAAAAAAUAACACCAACUUGUCAAGUUGAAAUUAAUGCUAAACAUUAAUUCUUA